UUGACCUAUGGGGGUAUUUASUCCCUUUWGUUCCCUUNGNUUUNKUACUUAGNKUCAGUUAAGGCCCAGUGGCGCGCUUUCGCCUCAGGUGUUCUUCCCGAUAUUUAGGCAUUUCACCGUUACACGGGGAAUUCCGGCAACCCUUACCUCAUUCCAGCUCACCAGUUUCCAAGGCCUUUCCACAGUUAAGCUGUGGUUUUUGACCCCAGAUUUGAUAACCCGCUUAGGUACGUUUUACGCCCAAUAAUUCCGGAUAACGUUUGCAUCCUCCGUUUUACCGCGGUUGUUGGCACGGAGUUACCCGAUGUUUUUUCCUGGGGUACCGUCAAUCUUCCUCCCCCAGAAAAGAGGUUUAAACCCAAGAGWCUUCCUCCCUCAAWCGGUAUUGCUCCCUYARGGUU
rnacentral:rRNA from 1 species